rnacentral:rRNA from 1 species
GACGAACGCUGGCGGCGUGCUUAACACAUGCAAGUCGAACGGAAAGGCCCUGCUUUUGUGGGGUGCUCGAGUGGCGAACGGGUGAGUAACACGUGAGUAACCUGCCCUUGACUUUGGGAUAACUUCAGGAAACUGGGGCUAAUACCGGAUAGGAGCUCCUGCUGCAUGGUGGGGGUUGGAAAGUUUCGGCGGUUGGGGAUGGACUCGCGGCUUAUCAGCUUGUUGGUGGGGUAGGGGCUUACCAAGGAUUUGCCCGGUAGCCGGCCUGACAGGGUGAACGGUCAGAUUGGUUCGGAGUGACGGCCGAGACUCAUACGGGAGGGAGGAGGGGGGAAUAUUGCACAAGGGGUGGAAGCAUGAUGCAGCAACGCCGGGCGCGGGAUGACGGCCUGCGGGUUGUAAGCCUCUUUCGCCUGUGACGAAGCGUGAGUGACGGUAAUGGGGAAAGAAGCACCGGCUAAUUACGU